UGAUUUCAUUCAGCCCUCUUUGCAACCACAUAUGUUAAAUGUGGUUGCCAGUUACUAGAGGAAAUUGAGGCUCACAGACAUUCAGUUGCAGAGCCACACGUUUCAAGAUUGAUUUGAGGUCUACAGUGAUUUCUAUGACCACUGACUCCUUCUCCUAUUUAUAUAAUCAUCUGUUUCACAAGUCAAUUAUCAGUUCUUUGAAGUCAGGGAUUAGUUUUGUCUCAGCAACAAUCUUAGUGCUUACAUAAGUAACAGGUGUGAUCAAUAAUCGUAGCUUUUAAUGAUUAUGUAUGUGAUCACUGUGCCUACAUUCAUGUUUAUCAACGUCUUUGUAACACCCUAGCAUGACUUCAAUAUUCUCAUUUAUCUUUUAUUUUUAAAUUUGUGAUACAGCAAUUUUUAUGUAUGUGUGUCCCUCUUUUUAUGAUCUUUAUUUGCUUCUUGAAAGCAGUAGGUUAUCUGUCAUGUAAAUUUUCCCAGUUCUGGAUUUGGUUGCAUAGCAUCAAUUAAAUAUGUUCACCCAA
ensembl:lncRNA novel transcript